UACAGCACUGGUGUGUUACUGUGUUACUUUCCUGAAUGUACAGGUGGUCUGCUGAAUGUACAGGUGGUCUGUUGAAUGUACAGGUGGUCUGCUGAAUGUACAGGUGGUCUGUUGAAUGUACAGGUGGUCUGUUGAAUGUACAGGUGGUCUGCUGAAUGUACAGGUGGUCUGCUGAAUGUACAGGUGGUCUGUUGAAUGUACAGGUGGUCUGUUGAAUGUACAGGUGGUCUGUUGAAUGUACAGGUGGUCUGUUGAAUGUACAGGUGGUCUGUUGAAUGUACAGGUGGUCUGUUGAAUGUACAGGUGGUCUGUUGAAUGUACAGGUGGUCUGUUGUGGUCUGCUGAAUGUACAGGUGGUCUGUUGAAUGUACAGGUGGUAUGUUGUGGUCUGCUGAAUGUACAGGUGGUCUGUUGUGGUCUGUUGAAUGUUAUGCAUCAAUGCAGUGCUACCAAAAUAGGACACUAAUGUCUUCCAGUGUUUUACCCAGUCUGGCAGUUUAAAAUAACAAUGUUUGCUUUCUACCAUCUUAACAGUAGUAAUGUAACCACUUCUAUAUCAUAAUCUAACUCAGAUUUCUCUCUCUCUCGUUCUCUUGUUUUCUCUCGCUCCCUCUCUCCUUCGCUCAAUCUUCCUCUCGUUCUCUCUCUCCUGUUUUCCCUCUCUUGUUCUCUCUCUCGUUCUCUCUCCCUCUCUCUCGUUCUCUCUCCCUCUCUCUCGUUCUCUCUCCCUCUCUCUUGUUCUCUCUCCCUCUCUCUUGUUCUCUCUCUUGUUCUCUCUCUCGUUCUGGCUUCUC